rnacentral:sRNA from 1 species
GAUCUGAGUGGCUGGACUCUCAGCCAGCCACUGGGAUGUGUUCGGGCUUUGGACCUUGAGGCCGGAGAUUGCUCCCGAGAGGAGGCGGCGCCCCGUUCAUUCUUCUGAGGGGACGGUAGAUUUGGGGGUUUUCCGCUAGGAUUCUCACGCCGUUUCCUCUGAAGAAACUGAGGACCAGAGAGGGAAAGUGACCUGAAAGUCACAGAAUAAUUUUAGAGCUGGACAAGAAUCCAAGCCUGCAACUGCAGAGACCAGAGAUCUUUCUGCUGUCUAUACUCUUGGGAAGCACAUCCUAAGAUCUUUGCAGAUUAUCCUGUGGAAGGAAAAUGCCUAAAGUCAAAAGAAGCCGGAAAGCACCCCCAGAUGGCUGGGAGUUGAUUGAGCCAACACUGGAUGAAUUAGAUCAAAAGAUGAGAGAAGGUGAGUAGGGGAGUUCCUGUCUGGGUGGGCUGGGUCCAAGGGUCACAGGCUUAGAUGCCA